UACAGAGGAUCCCAAGCGUUGUUCGGAUUCACUGGGCGUAAAGGGUGCGUAGGCGGUCGGGUAAGUCUGAUGUGAAAUCUCACAGCUUAACUGUGAAACUGCAUUGGAUACUAUUCGGCUUGAGAGUUGGAGGGGGACUGGAAUUCUUGGUGUAGCAGUGAAAUGCGUAGAUAUCAAGAGGAACACCAGUGGCGAAGGCGAGUCCCUGGACAACUUCUGACGCUGAGGCACGAAAGCUAGGGGAGCAAACAGG
rnacentral:rRNA from 1 species